rnacentral:rRNA from 1 species
AUGCAAGUCGAGCGGGGGAGGUUGCUUCGGUAACUGACCUAGCGGCGGACGGGUGAGUAAUACUUAGGAAUCUGCCUAUUAAUGGGGGACAACAUCUCGAAAGGGAUGCUAAUACCGCAUACGCCCUACGGGGGAAAGCAGGGGAUCACUUGUGACCUUGCGUUAAUAGAUGAGCCUAAGUCGGAUUAGCUAGUUGGUGGGGUAAAGGCCUACCAAGGCGACGAUCUGUAGCGGGUCUGAGAGGAUGAUCCGCCACACUGGGACUGAGACACGGCCCAGACUCCUACGGGAGGCAGCAGUGGGGAAUAUUGGACAAUGGGGGGAACCCUGAUCCAGCCAUGCCGCGUGUGUGAAGAAGGCCUUAUGGUUGUAAAGCACUUUAAGCGAGGAGGAGGCUCUUUUGGUUAAUACCCAAGAUGAGUGGACGUUACUCGCAGAAUAAGCACCGGCUAACUCUGUGCCAGCAGCCGCGGUAAUACAGAGGGUGCGAGCGUUAAUCGGAUUUACUGGGCGUAAAGCGUGCGUAGGCGGCUUUUUAAGUCGGAUGUGAAAUCCCCGAGCUUAACUUGGGAAUUGCAUUCGAUACUGGGAAGCUAGAGUAUGGGAGAGGAUGGUAGAAUUCCAGGUGUAGCGGUGAAAUGCGUAGAGAUCUGGAGGAAUACCGAUGGCGAAGGCAGCCAUCUGGCCUAAUACUGACGCUGAGGUACGAAAGCAUGGGGAGCAAACAGGAUUAGAUACCCUGGUAGUCCAUGCCGUAAACGAUGUCUACUAGCCGUUGGGGUCUUUGAGACUUUAGUGGCGCAGCUAACGCGAUAAGUAGACCGCCUGGGGAGUACGGUCGCAAGACUAAAACUCAAAUGAAUUGACGGGGGCCCGCACAAGCGGUGGAGCAUGUGGUUUAAUUCGAUGCAACGCGAAGAACCUUACCUGGUCUUGACAUAGUAAGAACUUUCCAGAGAUGGAUUGGUGCCUUCGGGAACUUACAUACAGGUGCUGCAUGGCUGUCGUCAGCUC